rnacentral:rRNA from 1 species
UACGUAGGGUGCGAGCGUUGUCCGGAAUUAUUGGGCGUAAAGAGCUCGUAGGCGGUCUGUCGCGUCGGUCGUGAAAACUUGGGGCUUAACCCUGAGCUUGCGGUCGAUACGGGCAUGACUGGAGUUCGGUAGGGGAGACUGGAAUUCCUGGUGUAGCGGUGAAAUGCGCAGAUAUCAGGAGGAACACCGGUGGCGAAGGCGGAUCUCUGGGCAUGUCCUGACGCUGAGGAGCGAAAGUGUGGGGAGCGAACAGG